rnacentral:rRNA from 1 species
GACGGAGGGUGCAAGCGUUGUUCGGAAUUACUGGGCGUAAAGCGCGCGUAGGCGGUUACUUAAGUCGGAUGUGAAAGCCCUCGGCUUAACUGAGGAAGUGCACCCGAAACUGAGUAGCUAGAGUACGAAAGAGGGUCGCGGAAUUCCCGGUGUAGAGGUGAAAUUCGUAGAUAUUGGGAAGAACACCAGUGGCGAAGGCGGCUCACUGGCCCGAUACUGACGCUGAGGCACGAAAGCGUGGGGAGCAAACAGGGA